rnacentral:sRNA from 1 species
UAGUUGCUACAUUCGUACUUACUGCCCUU